GCAAUGUUAGACGCAACUCAGCCCUUGAUCAUCACGACGCACGACGCUCCUGCACUGUUGAAGAUUUUCAAAAUUCAUGAAUCUUGAAUUUACGAAUGCAAAAUUUAUAAGGAGGCGCUCCAUUGACGACUUUAACAGCCAUGGCCGACGUGUUCAGGGCCGGGACCAGAGGGCAAAAGGACAGAUGAAUAAAUACAAAGGCGUCGAAGGAUACUGUGUAAGCUGAUUGGUUGAAAAUUCGACGAACUUGGAAUGGCCGCUACCACGAAAACUCGAAGAUAAUAAUGGCACAUUCGUGAUCUA